GAUGAACGCUGGCGGCGUGCCUAAUACAUGCAAGUCGAGCGAACAGACGAGGAGCUUGCUCCUCUGACGUUAGCGGCGGACGGGUGAGUAACACGUGGAUAACCUACCUAUAAGACUGGGAUAACUUCGGGAAACCGGAGCUAAUACCGGAUAAUAUAUUGAACCGCAUGGUUCAAUAGUGAAAGACGGUUUUGCUGUCACUUAUAGAUGGAUCCGCGCCGCAUUAGCUAGUUGGUAAGGUAACGGCUUACCAAGGCAACGUUGCGUAGCCGACCUGAGAGGGUGAUCGGCCACACUGGAACUGAGACACGGUCCAGACUCCUACGGGAGGCAGCAGUAGGGAAUCUUCCGCAAUGGGCGAAAGCUUGACGGAGCAACGCCGCGUGAGUGAUGAAGGUCUUCGGAUCGUAAAACUCUGUUAUUAGGGAAGAACAAAUGUGUAAGUAACUAUGCACGUCUUGACGGUACCUAAUCAGAAAGCCACGGCUAACUACGUG
rnacentral:rRNA from 1 species